rnacentral:ncRNA from 1 species
UAUCUGGUUGAUCCUGCCAGUAGUCAUAUGCUUGUCUCAAAGAUUAAGCCAUGCAUGUCUAAGUAUAAGCACUCGUACUGUGAAACUGCGAAUGGCUCAUUAAAUCAGUUAUCGUUUAUUU